AGUUACCAGCACGUUAUGGUGGGCACUCUAAGGAGACUAGCCGGUGACAAACCGGAGGAAGGUGGGGAUGACGUCAAGUCAUCAUGGCCCUUACGGCCUGGGCUACACACGUGCUACAAUGGUCGGUACAAAGGGUUGCCAAGCCGCGAGGUGGAGCUAAUCCCAUAAAACCGAUCGUAGUCCGGAUCGCAGUCUGCAACUCGACUGCGUGAAGUCGGAAUCGCUAGUAAUCGUGAAUCAGAAUGUCACGGUGAAUACGUUCCCGGGCCUU
rnacentral:rRNA from 1 species